CCAGACUCCUACGGGAGGCAGCAGUGGGGAAUAUUGCACAAUGGGGGAAACCCUGAUGCAGCGACGCCGCGUGAAGGACGAAGUAUUUCGGUACGUAAACUUCUAUCAGCAGGGAAGAAAAUGACGGUACCUGACCAAGAAGCCCCGGCUAACUACGUGCCAGCAGCCGCGGUAAUACGUAGGGGGCAAGCGUUAUCCGGAUUUACUGGGUGUAAAGGGAGCGUAGACGGCCGUGCAAGUCUGAUGUGAAAACCCGGGGCUCAACCCCGGGACUGCAUUGGAAACUGCAUGGCUGGAGUGUCGGAGAGGCAAGUGGAAUUCCUAGUGUAGCGGUGAAAUGCGUAGAUAUUAGGAGGAACACCAGUGGCGAAGGCGGCUUACUGGACGACGACUGACGUUGAGGCUCGAAAGCGUGGGGAGCAAACAGGAUUAGAUACCCGCGUAA
rnacentral:rRNA from 1 species